CGAAAGAAAGACAAAACUUAAGGCAAUUGAGAAUAUUCUAGAAGAGCUGGUGGGAAAGAUUUGCUUAGUUGGAAGCAACGCAAUGGACCUUAGCAGAUCUUGACAUCCUCUGAAAAUCCUAAAGAUAGGACGUCCCCUUCGGGGGCAGAGUGACAGGUGGUGCAUGGUUGUCGUCAGCUCGUGUCGUGAGAUGUUGGGUUAAGUCCCGCAACGAGCGCAACCCUUGAUAUUAGUUGCCAGCAUUCAGUUGGGCACUCUAAGGUGACUGCCGGUGACAAACCGGAGGAAGGUGGGGAUGACGUCAAAUCAUCAUGCCCCUUAUGACCUGGGCUACACACGUGCUACAAUGGACAGAACAAAGGGCAGCGAAACCGCGAGGUUAAGCCAAUCCCACAAAUCUGUUCUCAGUUCGGAUCGCAGUCUGCAACUCGACUGCGUGAAGCUGGAAUCGCUAGUAAUCGCGGAUCAGCAUGCCGCGGUGAAUACGUUCCCGGGCCUUGUACACACCGCCCGUCACACCACGAGAGUUUGUAACACCCGAAGUCGGUGAGGUACCUUUUAGGAGCCAGCCGCCUC
rnacentral:rRNA from 1 species